AGGGCUUCUGAGAAUCCGCCCGGCAUCUCGGAAGUGUCUGUCUGCAGGGCAGAAAUUUGGUGCAUUGUUCAGCCAGCUCUCAUUCCGCCUUGGUUAAGGACCGUUCUUUUCGGCACCUGGUCUGAGCUUUUAAGAAGCAGCUGUCUCCCUUCACGGCUUUAGAAAAGUCUGGAAGCAGGAAAUGAGAAAGACACCUAAGAAACCAUGGAGCCGACGUUUAAAGUCCACCUCAAACUAAGUUGGAAAGACACAUCCGGGGGAAGUGGCUCCAGCAGGACUCUAACUUCAAAGGAGGCUCUCGUGGCGAAUAAUUUGGAGACGCCUUGCUCUAAAGGGGACACAGUACAUUUGCUACUUGCUAGCUGCCUACAACCUAACCCGGCCAUGGAUGGUGCUGUCCACAUUCAAGGUGCGUCCCACCCCAGUUAAACAUCACACAUACACCCAGAGUUGUCUUCUAGUGAUUCAAAUCCGGGCAAACUAACAAUGAAGACUGAUCAUCACAGAAGGGAAUGGUGGAAACUAACUAUGAACAACAGCCUCAUCUUUGGGAAUAGGUGUGCCUGUCUUUCCCAUGGUCCUAGAGUGGGGGCUGUCUGUAAGUCUGGAAUACAGUCAAUAGGAAUUACCCAAACUCAGCAUGAGGAGAAGAAAGCAGAAUGAAACACCAAAAGCUGAAAGGCAACAGUCUAAUAAACAUGUAAUCCCAGAAAGA